rnacentral:tRNA from 1 species
UCGACGUGUGGACCACGGGCAGGUGCAUGCCGGUGGCGUCGGCGAGCGAGGUGAUCGUGCCGCUCGGGUCGACC